CAGCAGCCGCGGUAAUACGUAGGGUGCGAGCGUUAAUCGGAAUUACUGGGCGUAAAGCGUGCGCAGGCGGUUAUAUAAGACAGAUGUGAAAUCCCCGGGCUCAACCUGGGACCUGCAUUUGUGACUGUAUAGCUAGAGUACGGUAGAGGGGGAUGGAAUUCCGCGUGUAGCAGUGAAAUGCGUAGAUAUGCGGAGGAACACCGAUGGCGAAGGCAAUCCCCUGGACCUGUACUGACGCUCAUGCACGAAAGCGUGGGGAGCAAACAGGAUUAGAUACCCCCGUAGUCCCUGUCUCUUAUCC
rnacentral:rRNA from 1 species